GUCUACGGCCAUACCACCCUGAACGUGCCCGAUCUUGUCUGAUCUUGGAAGCUAAGCAGGGUCAGGCCUGGUUAGUACUUGGAUGGGAGGAAGCUGAGGCAGGAGGAUCAAGAGAUUGAAGGCA
ensembl:rRNA 5S_rRNA 5S ribosomal RNA